rnacentral:rRNA from 1 species
UACGUAGGUGGCAAGCGUUAUCCGGAAUUAUUGGGCGUAAAGCGCGCGCAGGCGGUUUCUUAAGUCUGAUGUGAAAGCCCACGGCUCAACCGUGGAGGGUCAUUGGAAACUGGGGAACUUGAGUGCAGAAGAGAAAAGCGGAAUUCCACGUGUAGCGGUGAAAUGCGUAGAUAUCUGGAGGAACACCUGCGGCGAAGGCGGGUUGCUGGGCUGACACUGACGCUGAAGCGCGAAAGCUAGGGGAGCGAAUGGG